rnacentral:tRNA from 1 species
GCCUCCAUAGCUCAGUUGGAUAGAGCAACUGCCUUCUAAGCAGUAGGUCGUGCGUUCGAGCCGCGCUGGAGGUA